CAGCAGCCACGGUAACACGGAGGGUGCAAGCGUUAAUCGGAAUUACUGGGCGUAAAGCGCACGCAGGCGGUCUGACAAGUCAGAUGUGAAAUCCCCGGGCUUAACCUGGGAACUGCAUUUGAAACUGUCAGGCUGGAGUCUUGUAGAGGGGGGUAGAAUUCCAGGUGUAGCAGUGAAAUGCGUAGAGAUCUGGAGGAAUACCGGUGGCGAAGGCGGCCCCCUGGACAAAGACUGACGCUCAGGUGCGAAAGCGUGGGGAGCAAACAGGAUUAGAUACCCGAGUAGUCCCUGUCUCUUAUAC
rnacentral:rRNA from 1 species